GGUACAUGUACUCGCUGCGGUGCAGCGAUGGUAAAUGU
rfam:Finegoldia magna ATCC 29328 DNA, complete genome.